GCGCACAGGAGGGGCGCUGGGAGGGGUGCAAGAGGCACCAGGCAGGUGCGGAGGCCUUGAGGCCCUGGGAGACUUCUCUGCUCCUGGGCCGGAAGGGGAAGCAUGGUGACCCUGGGGUCUCCGCCCCCUUCUGGGCAUCUUCCCUCCCACCCAGGAACCUCGGGACUCACGUUGUGCUGACAGCAGACCAGUUGGCAGCCCAGGUGGGAAGAUGCACAGGCAAUGCCGAACUCGAGGAGACAGAAAAUGAGCAGCACGCCCGAAAUCGCCACUCCGGGGGUCUGGAACCAGAGCAGGUAGAGGUCCCGCUGGGAGAGCCCGGGUCAGGAGGUGACUUACCAGGCGCAUCUUGUUGGUUUGUCAUCCUUCCCUUGGGAUUCGUUAGGCACGGGGGCUUUGGAGGGAAGGAGGAAGGUCACCAGCAUCUUCACUGCUUUGAGCUAGAAGCCCAACGUCACCUGGGUGAGGACUUGAAAGGCUGACGCUUGUGGAGUUUAAAUAACUGACCCGAGACCAUCCAGCAGAUGGCUGGUCCAGAUAGUUGAAUCCAGACCCCAUGUUCUUCGCCUUUACCACACAGACCCUCCCACCACUCAGGGUAGAUGCGUGCACCUUGGGGUGGAAAUGGUUUUACAAUGGAAAGUUACUCUAGCUUCCUACGCCUUUUAAACGGAGUGUGAUUUUUCCUAUACGUGGAAAAAUAAAUCUCAGUCUUACAACCUCC